AUUGAACGCUGGCGGCAGGCCUAAGACAUGCAAGUCGAGCGAGAAAGCCCUUCGGGGUGAGUACAGCGGCGGACGGGUGAGUAACGCGUAGGAAUCUACCUAGUAGUCGGGGGGACAACUCGUGGAAACGCGAGCUAAUACCGCAUACGCCCUACCGGGGGAAAGCGGGGGGAUCUUCGGACCUCGUGCUAUUAGAUGAGCCUGCGUAAGAUUAGCUAGUUGGUGGGGUAAUGGCCUACCAAGGCGACGAUCUUUAGCUGGUCUGAGAGGAUGAUCAGCCACACCGGGACUGAGACACGGCCCGGACUCCUACGGGAGGCAGCAGUCGGGAAUAUUGCGCAAUGGGCGAAAGCCUGACGCAGCCAUGCCGCGUGUGUGAAGAAGGCCCUAGGGUUGUAAAGCACUUUCAAUUGGGAGGAAAAGCUAAUGGUUAAUAGCCAUUAGCCCUGACGUUACCUUUAGAAGAAGCACCGGCUAACUCCGUG
rnacentral:rRNA from 1 species